rnacentral:rRNA from 1 species
CCCUUAGAUGUUCUGGGCCGCACGCGUGCUACACUGAGUGGAUCAGCGGGUCAGGUUGCGCGAAAGCGUUUCCUAAUCUUUAAAUCCGCUCGUGAUGGGGAUUGACGGUUGCAAUUUUCUGUCAUGAACGAGGAAUACCUUGUAAGCGCGGGUCAUCAUCCCGCGCUGAAUACGUCCCUGCCCUUUGUACACACCGCCCGUCGCUCCUACCGAUUGAGUGGUCCGGUGAGGCUUUGGGAUCUGAGCGGAAAGAGCGUUUCGCUGUUUCUGCUCGGAAAACUCAGUUGAACCUUAUCAUUUAGAGGAAGGAGAAGUCGUAACA